ensembl:lncRNA
CUAUCAUAGCUGAAGGCACAAUCUCACAACAGAAUUUGUGGUCCUCUGUCUCUUGCAAUCUCUUUUCCUUCUUCAACAAUAUUCCCUGAACUUUGUGUGCUUAUUUCAUGCUAAAAAAAGAAUGGGCCUUCUACAAAAAGCCUUAGUCCUGCCUGUGAGUGAUUUGUGGAUCUCUCUAGUCUUUCUCCUGAUCCAGCUGUGAUCUCAGAAGCCAGCUGAUGGAGAAUUUUGGAUUCAGUAACCUUGUAAGCAGCGCUCCUCCUUUCAAUAGUGGGGUGUCACAGCAAAGUCAAGGCAAAAUUCUAAUGCCUUUCAAA